UUGAUUGAUUCAAUCGUGGACUCGGACGCACAGAUGCAGGGUUGGGGGGGUCCACCGGGGGCCCCGACGCCCGAAGGCCGGGUCGCCCCCGAGGCAACGGUGGUCGGAUAACAGGGGGUUGGAGGUCGGGCCCGGGGGCCCUCGCUCGGUAAUGAUCCCUCCGCAGGUUCACCUACGGAGA
rnacentral:misc_RNA from 1 species